rnacentral:rRNA from 1 species
GCCUGCGCGGAAGAUGUAACGGGGCUAAACCAUGCACCGAAGCUGCGGCAGCGACGUUUAGGCGUUGUUGGGUAGGGGAGCGUUCUGUAAGCCGUUGAAGGUGACCUGUGAGGGUUGCUGGAGGUAUCAGAAGUGCGAAUGCUGACAUAAGUAACGAUAAUGCGGGUGAAAAACCCGCACGCCGGAAGACCAAGGGUUCCUGUCCAACGUUAAUCGGGGCAGGGUGAGUCGACCCCUAAGGCGAGGCUGAAAAGCGUAGUCGAUGGGAAACAGGUUAAUAUUCCUGUACUUGGUGUUACUGCGAAGGGGGGACGGAGAAGGCUAGGCUGGCCGGGCGACGGUUGUCCCGGUUUAAGCGUGUAGGGGGAGUGACCAGGUAAAUCCGGUUGCUUAUCAACCCUGAGGCGUGAUGACGAUGCACCACGGUGCAGAAGCAGUUGAUGCCAUGCUUCCAGGAAAAGCCUCUAAGCAUCAGGUAACAUUAAAUCGUACCCCAAACCGACACAGGUGGUCAGGUAGAGAAUACUCAGGCGCUUGAGAGAACUCGGGUGAAGGAACUAGGCAAAAUGGUGCCGUAACUUCGGGAGAAGGCACGCUGGCGUUAGGUGAAAGGACUAGCUCCUGGAGCUGAAGCCAGUCGCAGAUACCAGCUGGCUGCAACUGUUUAAUAAAAACACAGCACUGUGCAAACACGAAAGUGGACGUAUACGGUGUGACGCCUGCCCGGUGCUGGAAGGUUAAUUGAUGGGGUCAGCCGCAAGGCGAAGCUCUUGAUCGAAGCCCCAGUAAACGGCGGCCGUAACUAUAACGGUCCUAAGGUAGCGAAAUUCCUUGUCGGGUAAGUUCCGACCUGCACGAAUGGCGUAAUGAUGGCCAGGCUGUCUCCACCCGAGACUCAGUGAAAUUGAACUCGCUGUGAAGAUGCAGUGUACCCGCGGCAAGACGGAAAGACCCCGUGAACCUUUACUAUAGCUUGACACUGAACAUUGAGCCUUGAUGUGUAGGAUAGGUGGGAGGCCUUGAAGUGUGGACGCCAGUCUGCAUGGAGCCAACCUUGAAAUACCACCCUUUAAUGUUUGAUGUUCUAACUCGGCCCCAUGAUCUGGGGUGAGGACAGUGUCUGGUGGGUAGUUUGACUGGGGCGGUCUCCUCCCAAAGAGUAACGGAGGAGCACGAAGGUUAGCUAAUCACGGUCGGACAUCGUGAGGUUAGUGCAAAGGCAUAAGCUAGCUUGACUGCGAGAGUGACGGCUCGAGCAGGUACGAAAGUAGGUCUUAGUGAUCCGGUGGUUCUGAAUGGAAGGGCCAUCGCUCAACGGAUAAAAGGUACUCCGGGGAUAACAGGCUGAUACCGCCCAAGAGUUCAUAUCGACGGCGGUGUUUGGCACCUCGAUGUCGGCUCAUCACAUCCUGGGGCUGAAGUAGGUCCCAAGGGUAUGGCUGUUCGCCAUUUAAAGUGGUACGCGAGCUGGGUUUAGAACGUCGUGAGACAGUUCGGUCCCUAUCUGCCGUGGGCGUUGGAAGAUUGAGAGGGGCUGCUCCUAGUACGAGAGGACCGGAGUGGACGAAUCACUGGUGUUCGGGUUGUCAUGCCAAUGGCAUUGCCCGGUAGCUAAAUUCGGAAGAGAUAACCGCUGAAAGCAUCUAAGCGGGAAACUUGCCUCGAGAUGAGUCUUCCCUGGGACUUAAAGUCCCCUGAAGGAACGUUAAAGACUAUGACGUUGAUAGGCUGGGUGUGUAAGUGCAGCGAUGUAUUGAGCUAACCAGUACUAAUGAUCCGUGAGGCUUAACCUUACAACACCGAAGGUGUUU